AGUCUGGUGCCAGCAGCCGCGGUAAUUCCAGCUCCAAUAGCGUAUAUUAAAGUUGUUGCAGUUAAAAAGCUCGUAGUUGGAUUUCUGGUAUGGUGCGCCUGGUCCACGGUUGCAAAACCGCGAGUAUCGGUGUGCGCCUGCCAUCUUUCUAGUUAACUGGACGCACUUAACUGGGCGGUCAGCGAUCUAGUUCUUUUACUUUGAAAAAAUUAGAGUGUUUAAAGCAGGCUUGCGCUAUGAAUACAUUAGCAUGGAAUAAUAAUUUAGGACUUUGCUUCUAUUUUAUUGGUUUCUAGGAGUUAAGUAAUGAUUGAUAGGGAUAGUUGGGGGUGCUAGUAUUCAUCGGCCAGAGGUGAAAUUCUUGGAUUCGAUGAAGACUAACUAAUGCGAAAGCAUUCACCAAGGAUGUCUUCUUUAAUCAAGAACGAAAGUUGGGGGAUCGAAGACGAUCAGAUACCGUCGUAGUCUCAACCAUAAACUAUACCGACUAGGGAUAAGGGGAAGUUGCUUUUUCGACUUCCUUUGCACCUUAUGAGAAAUCACAAGUCUUUGGGUUCUGGGGGGAGUAUGGUCGCAAGGCUGAAACUUAAAGGAAUUGACGGAAGGGCACCACCAGGAGUGGAGCCUGCGGCUUAAUUUGACACAACACGGGGAAACUUACCAGGUCCGGACAUAGUGAGGAUUGACAGAUUGAAGUUCUUUCUUGAUUCUAUGGGUGGUGGUGCAUGGCCGUUCUUAGUUGGUGGAGUGAUUUGUCUGCUUAAUUGCGUUAACGAACGAGACCUCGACCUGCUAAAUAGUUCAACGUAGGCCUUGCCUAUGUGUGUACUUCUUAGAGGGACUGUUGGUUCAAAGCCAAAGGAAGUUCGAGGCAAUAACAGGUCUGUGAUGCCCUUAGAUGUACUGGGCCGCACGCGCGCUACACUGAUACGUGCAUCGAGCUUACAACCUUGGCUGGGAGGCCUGGUAAUCUUUUCAACGCGUAUCGUGCUGGGGAUAGAUUAUUGUAAUUAUUAAUCUUCAACGAGGAAUUCCUAGUAAGCGCGAGUCAUCAACUCGCACUGAUUACGUCCCUGCCCUUUGUACACACCGCCCGUCGCUGCUACCGAUUGAAUGCAUUAGUGAGCCUUGAGGAUCGUCUUUUCUGAGGGUAAAACUUCGGUCUAGAUGAGAAUCAAUACAAACUUGCGCAUUUAGAGGAAGCAAAAGUCGUAACAAGGU
rnacentral:rRNA from 1 species